AAUUUUGGACAAUGGGGGCAACCCUGAUCCAGCCAUGCCGCGUGAGUGAAGAAGGCCUUCGGGUUGUAAAGCUCUUUCGGCCGGGAAGAAAUCGUGCAGGCUAAUACCCUGUAUGGAUGACGGUACCGGAAUAAGAAGCACCGGCUAACUACGUGCCAGCAGCCGCGGUAAUACGUAGGGUGCGAGCGUUAAUCGGAAUUACUGGGCGUAAAGCGUGCGCAGGCGGUUUUGUAAGACAGGCGUGAAAUCCCCGGGCUCAACCUGGGAACUGCGCUUGUGACUGCAAGACUAGAGUACGGCAGAGGGGGGUGGAAUUCCACGUGUAGCAGUGAAAUGCGUAGAGAUGUGGAGGAACACCAAUGGCGAAGGCAGCCCCCUGGGUCGAUACUGACGCUCAUGCACGAAAGCGUGGGGAGCAAACAGGAUUAGAUACCCUGGUAGUCCACGCCCUAAACGAUGUCAACUAGUUGUUGGUAGGGUAAAACCAUAUCUAGUAACGGAGCUAACGCGUGAAGUGACCG
rnacentral:rRNA from 1 species